CCCUGCAGGGAGCUCAACACAAGACUCGAUCCCAGGACCCUAGGAUCAUGACCUGAGCUGAAGGCAGACGCUUAACCACUGAGCCACCCAGGUACCCUGAUGCUGUGUGUUUUUAAGUUGAGGAGCUUCUCCCAAACUGCUGUUCACCCUGCCCUCUGCAUUCUCCACAGGCUGGACUUCAUCCCAGACCAACUGAAUCUGGAUUUCUCAGGGAAUCAUUCACCAGGACCAUACAGGGUCUUCCUACCUCUACCCUGAACAUCGCUUGGCAUCCUGAACAAAGAAAGGGGGACUGCAGGCUGACCCAGCAAUCAGCCAAGGUUUCAUUCCCCGGUCAUCCACUCAUUGCCGGCUGCCAGCACCUGGAGUUAAAUUCCUUCUGCCAGAGAAGAGGGUCUCAAGACAAGGUGAUACCGAGCCAGUCCUCAGAUAAUGAAGCGAUGUUUGCCAGUAAGAUGAGGGUUGAAGAGAGGACAUUCCAGGCAGAGGACAUUAACAGCAAGAGCCUAAAGUGGCAGCCUUCCUGACUCACUACUCCAACAUUUAUGAAGAUGCAGAACAAGGCACUCCUGCAACACGAAAAAUUGAGCUAAAUGUUCGGUUCUCUCGCCAACACAAUCCUCAGGGUAGACGGGCAAGACACAAGCAGGCGAUGCCUCGAGAGAAUAACAAAAACCUAACUGGAGGUCAAUCAAUUUCCGGGCUACAGGCGUCAAAGCUGAGGUCUUCAGCUUCUAAAUGUGCAAAGCAAUUUAGCGCUUGAGUUCCCAUGGCAACCAUGGCCGGGCACUCAGGCGAAGAUUCAGGAGUUUCUGCCUGGCGGUUGCUGCGGGGCUCUAGCUGCUGGCCGCGUGACUCCGCUCAGGCUCUGGCGUUUAGAUUCUCAGGGACUUUGCAUCAACGGGAGUUCUGGAGUCGGGCCUAAUUGAAAAUGCAGUUGCCGAGAAGAGGUGAAAAGUAUACAUCGGAGGCGCAGUGCCAGCGAGGUAGCCCUCUAG